CACACACAAAAAAAGCAGUUUCCAAUGGCAAUUCGAUCGCAAGCCGGCGCUGCAGCAACUUGGAACGGCAAUUUGAUUCUUGAAGCACAGUGCGUAGUUCUUGGACUGUAAUAGUACUUCAUUUCGAAUUAGUGACAGUUCUGGGCAGGAUGGAGGUUGCUGCUAUGACGGGCUGCCGUCCGGCCACCUGCAUGCUCGACGAAGUUCUUGUCCUUGAUGUUCCGCCGCGAUCUUCACCACCGCCUCUGCUGCACCAGCACCGCAUCAGGUCUCAGUCCCCGCGGUGGCGCGCCGUAACCCUGCUUCUCGUCCGCUCGCCCUGCCAGAGUUCUCCAGCGGCUCCCUGUCUCUGGACGCGCCGGCAGACGUGGAGCUCUUCUCAACCUCCUCCCGUUCGCCGGCGAUGCGCCCCUCCGUUUCGUCCUCGCCGCCGUCGGCCUCUCCCUCGAUGCGGUGGACUGGUACUUCUCCGAGGUUUCUGGCAUCCUCUACUCCGCGCCGCCGACGUCCAGUUCUCCUCCCCGGUGCCCGCCCUGCCCAUGCGCCGGCCAGGGUGGUGGCUGUUAAACUGCAGGUCCCCUGUAGGGGGUUUAGUGCAAAUAUUCGGAUCGCGAUUAGUAAUCGCGAUCCGAAUGAGGGGGUCAUAUGCAAAGUUUGUUGACCAGUGUCAGCACUCCUCCGGGCAAUAUCUCGCCGUUGGAUUCAAAUCGCACAGUCCAGAUAGAUUCUUCGUGCCUUAGCUUUCGUUCUCCCCUCCCGCGCCGCCCGCUUCGCCGAGAUCGCCAUGGCUGCCACCUAUGGGCUCUCGCCUGCCACCGCCGAUGGGGACGGACGCCUCCUCGUCGCCCUUCGAUUCAAGGUAGCUCAAGGUCGCAGCCGUCGUCCAUUAAAAUCGCCUCCCAACGAAACCGGCAGCAACAGCCGCCGCCGGUGUAACUUCUUCGACAGGUGCUGGACCUGCCGCCGCAGCGGCCUGGUGUCGAUGUGGAGCGUUGGGUCGACGAGGUGCUCAGGAGAGGUCCCUCAGGCUGGAUACGGCUCUGCUCUUGAAACUUAUACUUGAUUCUCUGUGCUGAAGUUUCAAAUUUUGUGGCGGUUUCUAGUACGAUUAUACGCUUCUGUUCUGUACUUCUGUUGUAAGUUGUGACAGUGUAACUUGAUUGGUCGGUGUUUCUGAGAUUUUACUGAGACAUGAACUUGAUUUUACUGAAACAUGAACUUUACAACAUUUGAGAGCUCGUUGGAUAACGUUCUGGCUUUAGACUGCAGUUAUACUGCAAAACACACCAGAAAUUUUUGGAGAAAUAGGCACUCUUACCCUGCUGCGUGUUUCAGUUUACCACAUGAGUAGGAGAUUCAGUUGUCUGAAGUGUAGUUUCAAAUUUUCCAUUGUGCAGAUUUCAGUACUGACGAUGAGAUGCAGCAACUAUCAGGGAGCAUUUUUGCCAGAAUAAAUUUCUACAAUCAGCAUGUAACUAGUAUCACCUAUCUGAGUUUUCCUAUAAUGUUGAAUUGCUUGUGCAGAGGGAAGCUUGCCCCUCAGUUGCUGCAUUUUCUUACCAAGCAGUAGAGUUCAUUUUGGGAUCAGUUGGCUGCACAUAGGCACAAUUGUCUGCACAGUACUUGUUCUGUAAGUUAGGAAAUGAGGAGUUCGUUGUUCGUAGGAAAGAUUGCUUCUGGCUGACCCAUGUAUUGCAAUAUAUCCCUCAUCAGCAGCAAUGUCGAUGGAAACCUGCCGCUCCCGGAUUGGAUCGGAGCAUCAGCCGGAUGGAAGACGAUGCCGUCUCUUGGAGCUUCCUUCGGCACGCCGUUGCCGGCUUCGGCUACCUGCUUGGCUGCUUCAUCAAGCUGCAUCCGCAUCUCGGCGUCGGGUCAGAAUCGGAAUGCGAUUCCGCGGCGGCGCGCCAGAAUCCCAUCUCUCGGCCGCUGGCGCCGUCGCAGUGAGCAAGGAACAAUCCCUCCAUCCUGUCCUCCCUCUCCCUCCCCAGCGGCAGCUGUGCAGCGUUCUCCGACGGCCGCAUACGAGGAGCGCUUCUAGAGCGAGCUCCUCCCGUCCGCCGGCAACGCGACCCUCCGUUUCGUCCUCGUCGCCAUCGGCCUCGGCCUCGGCCUCUUCCUCUACGUCGCGGAGGACUGGUGGCCUCCUCUACGUCGGCCCGCCGGCGUCCAGGCGCCCCUCCGUUUCGUCCUCGUUGCCAUCGGCCUCGGCCUCGGCCUCUUCCUCGACGUCGCGGAGGACUGGUGGCCUCCUCUACGUCGGCCCGCCGGCGUCCAGUUCCUCUCUCCGGUGGUCACCGUGCCCAUGCGCCGACCAGGGUGGUUUCUGCAAAAUUGUGGGUACGUUUUAGGGGGUUUUAUGAAAAUAUUUAGAUCGCGAUUACAAAUCGCGAUCCGAUUUAGGAAUUUUAUGAAAAUUUUUGGAUCGCGAUUAAUAAUGGCGACCCAAAUCA